rnacentral:lncRNA from 1 species
AGUCUGGUGUGGCGAUUGAGCUGGGGUGUUCCUGUAAAGGGGAUCUGGCUGCUGCUCAUAAGAAGUGCGCAGAGACUUGGUUCAAGAUCAAAGGCAACAUGUAAGUUAAAAAUCUUUCCUUUUUUAUACAGAUGCUGUUACUAGUAGUCUGUUUUGGUUGGAGAUUUCUGGAUUGGAAGUUCAAGCACUAAUCUUUUUUGCUUGAUCCAAAAUACCAAGAUCAGAUCAUCUGUCUUUAAUGAUGAUGGUAUCAUCAUGAGGAUGUUGUUGAAUUUUUUUUCUUUGUCUGUCCUGUGUAAUGUACUUCUUCAGCAAAAAGUUUUCCCUUUUUCCUCCAACUGAAAAACUUAAAGUAGAAAGCAAAGCACAAAUGUUCCACUAUAAUAAAGUAGCUUGCUUGUCACACAAAAACCAGACUCCUAUUUAUAGCUCCUACAGAUCUUAUGGAAUCUAAUAGACUAAUACCCCAUUUCUUGUUCUGUUUUCAUGUUUCCUCUGUUCUCAAUUGCUCUUCGUCUGCUGCCAAGAAUGGGAAUUCUAUCCUUGAUAACCAAACCAAUAUUUCCAUGUGCUUGAGUGUGAUUAAUUGGCCUGAAUAUAGAUAGGGGUUAAUCUCUCUAGUGGAAUUUCAGUUUUUCCAUAAGUGAGCAGGCAUGCUUUGUAACCGUCCUAUUAUGGAUGACAUUACACUACUCUUUAUCGUAUGUGUAGUUGUAGCUUGUAACUGUUGUUAGCUUUAGUUUCCCAUCCUGCUACGUUUCAUCCGUCCUUAUCUCUUUUGCUUCUUUGUGACAGAUGAGGCAGAGGGGGGAAUUCUGUACAGAAUUUAUGUAAAGUGAGAGUGUAAAAAAGAAAGUUAGGACCUUGUGUCAUUACUGAGGACUCUAGCAGCUUUUCUCCUUUGCCUUUUCUUUUCUGGAAUCGAAAUGUGGAAUGCUUUAAAGCUUUACUUGUUUGGUUGCCCUUUUCCCAUGGAGAAGGAUGUGUUCAUAUUCAAGAACGAGCUACCCUUCUUUAUUUUACCACUUUUCAGAAGGUAUUGAGUGCACUGGUGUCCAAUGUAAGCCGAGACAUUAUUCAGAGUGCAAAGUGCUCUCAUCUAGUUUGUUCUGAUGUAAUCAACCCUCAUCCAAGAACUUCCAAAUGAAUCAGCUUAAAUGCUUCUCCUUUCUAGGCCAAAGUUCAAAUCUUUUUGAACUUGACAUGAGCAUGCUUGACUGAAUCCAGCUUAAGACACUUUACAAAGUGUGUGGAGACUAAGACAUGAACUGGCCGGAAAGUCUGAACCAGUUUUGUCUGCUAAAACUAGAUCAUGUAUCUGAUAUGUUUUCCUCUGUUUCUAAUUUCUGUCUCUUGUAGGGUAUGUGAGAUC